rnacentral:rRNA from 1 species
GUUAUUCNUAACUGUGCAAAGGUAGCAUAAUCAUUAGUCUUUUAAUUGAAGGCUGGAAUGAAUGGUUGAAUGAAAUAUUAACUGUUUCAGUUUAAUUAAANAUAGAAUUUUAUUUUUUAGUUAAAAAGCUAAAAUAAUUUUAAAAGACGAGAAGACCCUAUAAAUCUUUAUAAUANUUUGAUGUAAUUAGNUAUUUAGAUUAAUUAAUUUUUUUCAUUUAAUAUUAUUUUAUUGGGGUGAUAUUGAAAUUUAUAAAACUUUUAAUUUUUAAUGUACAUUAAUUAAUGAAUUAUNUGAUCCAUUANNUAAUGAUUAAAAAAUUAAGUUACUUUAGGGAUAACAGCNGUAAUUUUUUUUGAGAGUUCACAUUGAUAAAAAAGAUUGCGACCUCGAUGUUGGAUUAAGAUAUA